rnacentral:rRNA from 1 species
CGUAGGGUGCGAGCGUUAAUCGGAAUUACUGGGCGUAAAGCGUGCGCAGGCGGUUUAGUAAGACAGGCGUGAAAUCCCCCGGGCUCAACCUGGGAACUGCGCUUGUGACUGCUAAGCUAGAGUACGGCAGAGGGGGGUGGAAUUCCACGUGUAGCAGUGAAAUGCGUAGAGAUGUGGAGGAACACCAAUGGCGAAGGCAGCCCCCUGGGUCGAUACUGACGCUCAUGCACGAAAGCGUGGGUAGCAAACAGGAUUAGAUACCCUGGUAGUCCACGCCCUAAACGAUGUCAACUAGGUGUUGGGAGGGUAAAACCUUUUAGUACCGGAGCUAACGCGUGAAGUUGACCGCCUGGGGAGUACGGCCGCAAGGUUA